rnacentral:rRNA from 1 species
GUGACUACCUAACACUGUUGCUUCGGCGGGGAGCCCUCUCGGGGGCGAGCCGCCGGGGACUACUGAACUUCAUGCCUGAGAGUGAUGCAGUCUGAGUCUGAAUAUAAAAUCAGUCAAAACUUUCAACAAUGGAUCUCUUGGUUCCGGCAUCGAUGAAGAACGCAGCGAACUGCGAUAAGUAAUGUGAAUUGCAGAAUUCAGUGAAUCAUCGAGUCUUUGAACGCACAUUGCGCCCCCUGGCAUUCCGGGGGGCAUGCCUGUCCGAGCGUCAUUGCUGCCCAUCAAGCCCGGCUUGUGUGUUGGGUCGUCGUCCCCCCCGGGGGACGGGCCCGAAAGGCAGCGGCGGCACCGUGUCCGGUCCUCGAGCGUAUGGGGCUUUGUCACCCGCUCGAUUAGGGCCGGCCGGGCGCCAGCCGACGUCUCCAACCAUUUUCUUCAGGUUGACCUCGGAUCAGGUAGGGAUACCCGCUGAACUUAAGCAUACA